rnacentral:rRNA from 1 species
GGUCUACCACCGGGAUGUUCAUAACCCUUUGUUGUCCGACUCUGUUGCCUCCGGGGCGACCCUGCCUUCGGGCGGGGGCUCCGGGUGGACACUUCAAACUCUUGCGUAACUUUGCAGUCUGAGUAAACUUAAUUAAUAAAUUAAAACUUUUAACAACGGAUCUCUUGGUUCUGGCAUCGAUGAAGAACGCAGCGAAAUGCGAUAAGUAAUGUGAAUUGCAGAAUUCAGUGAAUCAUCGAAUCUUUGAACGCACAUUGCGCCCCCUGGUAUUCCGGGGGGCAUGCCUGUUCGAGCGUCAUUUCACCACUCAAGCCUCGCUUGGUAUUGGGCAUCGCGGUCCGCCGCGUGCCUCAAAUCGACCGGCUGGGUCUUCUGUCCCCUAAGCGUUGUGGAAACUAUUCGCUAAAGGGUGUUCGGGAGGCUACGCCGUAAAACAACCCCAUUUCUAAGGUUGACCUCGGAUCAGGUAGGGAUACCCGCUGAACUUAAGCAUAUCAAUAAGCGGAGGAA